AGUGGCCUCCUUGCAUGGCAACAAGCUAGCAUUAAGGUUUAUGUUUGGAGCAGUCGUCCAGGAAGGUCUCCACGUUGUCGAUGAGCUCCCCGCGGAAGUUGGGCUGCAGGGAGGCCAGCUCGUUCUGCACCUCCGUGCUGCGGGACAGCAGCUUCUCCCAGGUGUAGCGCAGCGUGUCCACCUUCUCCACCUCCUCCUUGGCCACCGACAGCCCGUACUUGUGGAGCAUGGCGUAGGAUUCCUGGAAGGAAGAGGUCAACGACGAGGGAAUGAGUGAUUUUUC
ensembl:lncRNA